GGGGGCGACCUGGUAUCGACCGGAUAGACGAAGGGUGAGUGGCGUGCCGUGGUUGGUCAGCUGGCCACGUUAAAAGCUGACUACAACUUUAUUUGCCGAGAAUAAUCUCGCAUUGGCUGCCUAGUUAAAGGCGGCCCCGGCUGCGGGUUUUCGCCGGAGAGACCCAAAAGCCGGCCACAAUUCCGGCUAGUUUCGAGUCAUGUCGGGCACGCUCGAAGCGAAACUAAGUUUCCGACUGGUUGAUCUGGAAUCCUGUCGAGGGGAGUCCGGAAAGACGAGAUUCAAAUCAUCGACUAUGCACGUAGAAGCUGACUUGGAAGUAUCGCGGGACGCGGGUUCGAUUCCCGCCGCCUCCACUU
rnacentral:tmRNA from 1 species